AACGAACGCUGGCGGCAUGCCUAACACAUGCAAGUCGAACGAAGUCUUCGGACUUAGUGGCGCACGGGUGCGUAACGCGUGGGAAUCUGCCCUUGGGUGCGGAAUAACUUCUCGAAAGGGAUGCUAAUACCGCAUAAUGUCGUAAGACCAAAGAUUUAUCGCCCAAGGAUGAGCCCGCGUAAGAUUAGCUAGUUGGUGGGGUAAAAGCCUACCAAGGCGACGAUCUUUAGCUGGUCUGAGAGGAUGAUCAGCCACACUGGGACUGAGACACGGCCCAGACUCCUACGGGAGGCAGCAGUGGGGAAUAUUGGACAAUGGGCGAAAGCCUGAUCCAGCAAUGCCGCGUGAGUGAUGAAGGCCCUAGGGUUGUAAAGCUCUUUUACCCGAGAUGAUAAUGACAG
rnacentral:rRNA from 1 species